CCCCACCAUGAGCUCGUCACCGCUGGCCAGCACUCGGCGGCGCUGCCGUCCAAGAUUAAGGGGUCCCCGGCGAGGAGCCGGGCCAACAUGCCUGGGCGGCCGCGCGCGAUUAAAGUCCUGCGCGGUGUCGCGCCCUUGGGCCUUUGAGCGCGCGACGCAGCGGCCGUGCUAGAUGGAAGACUAUGGAGGUGACGGAUGAUACAAGCUCCAAGACCUGGUCUCCCCAGGUUUUCCUGGCAGCGGCUGAUGCUAAAGAGAGCAUUUAUCGUUGGUGUUUACCUACGCUAAGAGGCAAAGUCUUCCUUUAGACCAGGCAGCUUCCAGUUUGCCGUUCCCUGCCUCAGCUUUGACCCACCUGGUGUAAUGACAACACCU